CAGGAAAUAGUUUAUUUAAAAUAUUAAUUUUGGGGAUUAAUGAUAGGGGUUUUCCUUUUUCUUGA
rnacentral:tRNA from 1 species